rnacentral:rRNA from 1 species
AGAGUUGAUCAUGGCGUCAGGACGAACGCUGGCGGCGUGCCUAACACAUGCAAGUCGAGCGAGGAGAUCCUUCGGGAUGAUCCUAGCGGCGGACGGGUGAGUAACACGUGGGCAACCUGCCUCAUAGAGAGGAAUAGCCUUCCGAAAGGGAGAUUAAUACCUCAUAACAUUGCAGUUUCGCAUGGAACAGCAAUUAAAGGAGCAAUCCGCUAUGAGAUGGGCCCGCGGCGCAUUAGCUAGUUGGUGAGGUAACGGCUCACCAAGGCGACGAUGCGUAGCCGACCUGAGAGGGUGAUCGGCCACAUUGGGACUGAGACACGGCCCAGACUCCUACGGGAGGCAGCAGUGGGGAAUAUUGCACAAUGGGGGAAACCCUGAUGCCAGCAACGCCGCGUGAGUGAUGACGGCCUUCGGGUUGUAAAGCUCUGUCUUCAGGGACGAUAAUGACGGUACCUGAGGAGGAAGCCACGGCUAACUACGUGCCAGCCGCCGC